UGUGAUGUGUCAUGCUGCUGCCGCACAACCU
rnacentral:piRNA from 1 species